rnacentral:lncRNA from 1 species
AAAAUAACCAAAUUGCCCCUAAUUCUUCUAUAAACAAAUAAUUUUUAAUAUAUUUCUGUCAUUUUAAAGGAUAUUUUCGGUAUAAAUUAUACAAAAUGGACGGAAUAGUGAUGGAACCCUGACGAAGGGAUGCUAAAUACAACAACUUAAAAUGUUGACGAGAUAAAUAUAUAUAUUUUUGAAAGUUAGGAAGAAAAAAUAAAAAAAAAGGUAUUUAUAAGGAGGUUUUCUGUAAUUUAGCCCUAUUAUUAUUAUUAGGAAAAACUUCAAAUACAACUCCUGUGGUUUCACACUUUCUCACUUUAGUACCCUGUGGUUUAAAGUGUAUCAAUUUAAUACCCUAUGGUUCCAUUUUUAUCUUUUUAUUAUCGAUUCCACUAAUUUUUUUCGUUAAAUCAGUGACAAAGUUAAAACUAAAGGGUACUAAAGUGAAUAUUCGAUAAAUCUAGGUGGGGUAUCUGAAGCUUUUUGUAUAUAAUUUAACGAAAUAUUACCGGAAAAGCUGACGAAAAGAUAAAAAUGAAACCACAGGACACUAACUUGAUAUUUUUUAAACUAUAGGGUACUAAAGUGAGAAAGUGCGAAACCAUAGGGAUGGUAUUUGAAGUUUAUCCUUAUUGUUAUUAUUAUUAUUAUUGUGUGUGUGUGUGUGCAUAAUUAGUUAAUUUGGAUUCGGCAAAUAUUCGGUAGAGUAUAAUACGCAUAAAAUUCGUUUUCUAAUUUUUAAAUUCGUUGAAAAAUUCGGCUUAAAAAACGAACUCGGUAUAAAAUACAAAAUAUAAUAUAUAAAAUAUAAGAUAAUCUAUAUUUAAAUAUAAAAAUUAUAAGUUUUUUAUUUAGAUUUUCAGUAAUUCGAAAAUAAUUCGUGAAUUAUUCGCAAUUAUUCGGCUAGCCUAAAAAUUUACGAAUAAUUUAUUUUCUUUGAAAAAAAUUCGUAAACAGACCAUUUAAUUUGAAUCUUUAAUAAUUCACAAAUAAUUUGCGAAUUAACUAACAAAGGGUAUGAAUCACAUGAUACAACAAA